rnacentral:rRNA from 1 species
UACGUAGGGCGCAAGCGUUGUCCGGAAUUAUUGGGCGUAAAGAGCUCGUAGGCGGCCAGUUGCGUCUGCUGUGAAAACCCGGAGCUCAACUCCGGGCCUGCAGUCGAUACGGGCAGACUGGAGUUCGGCAGGGGAGACUGGAAUUCCUGGUGUAGCGGUGAAAUGCGCAGAUAUCAGGAGGAACACCGGUGGCGAAGGCGGGUCUCUGGGCCGAUACUGACGCUGAGGAGCGAAAGCGUGGGGAGCGAACAGG